AGGUUUGAUGAUCUCCAUAUAACAAUCAAACUAGAGUUUGUGACACGAAGAAUGAUCGGAACUAUACUUUCUGACC
rnacentral:snoRNA from 1 species